rnacentral:sRNA from 1 species
CUUGAAUUCGGGCUGAUAGGCCGCCUUCUCCAGCACGGCCGGGUCAGGCGUCUUCACGCCGGCGAAGGCCUUGCGAUAGGUCGCCUGGCUGAUGCCGUUCUUGGCAGCCGUUGCAUAGAAGUUAUUGAUCCAGUUUUGAAAACCUUGAUCCGCACGCGCGGGCGACGA